rnacentral:lncRNA from 1 species
AGAAGACUAAGUUUUAUAUUUAUUAUAUUUAAUACUUUUCAUGAAAGAUAUAGAGGACAUACUUGACAGUUUAACCCUUUGAAGAAUAAAAAAUGAUAGGAAAGCAGAAGAAAAGAAAGAGAAUACUGCUAAAAGUUUGGCAUAUCACUAACAGAAAGAGAAGGAAUUUUUUAAUCAUCUUUUACAAUACACAGGUUAGAUGGUGGAUGAAUUCUUCCCCCACCCAUAGGUGUAUUGUGCUAAUUAUUGUACCAUGUGAAUGUUAUAUCAAUAUAAUUGUAAAAUUGGAUAGGCAGUUGUCAUAUCAAUAUUCAAGCAUUGUUGAAC